rnacentral:misc_RNA from 1 species
AAUGACUUGAGCAAAUUAACGUAACAAGUUUAUACUUACAAUCUCAUUGAAAGGCAUAAAUGACUUGAGCAAAUUAACCCAACAAGUUUAUACUCACAAUCUCAUUGAAUCAAUUACAGCCUAAUUUUCGCUACAGUACUAAUUCAACAAGCAAAAUGCCACCCUUAACAUUAGCAAAAAUUCAAUGAUAAUCUUUAAAAAUAUAACAAUAAUGUUUUCUUUAUUGAAAAAUGCUAUUCAAAACACAGGAGCCUCUACCCAAAGAACGAUCAAGAAGGGCAGAUUUUUGGACACUCGAAACAGAACCAACGAGAUAUAGAUCAUUACUCCAAAUAUUCAAGCCUAGUAAUUAAUAAAUUGAACAAUAUAUGCCGAAUCCACGAAUAAUAGAGCUAUGCCUCCAAUUUCAAGAACCAGCAAUACCCAUUUAAUCAUAAACUAGCAAAUUCUAGUUUUUAAAACAACAAAUCAACUCAUUAGAUGUAUUUUGUCUAAAGGAAACAACAGAGCUAAAAUUUUUACCCACGAUAUUGCUGGAUCUCCAAAUGAGAGCAAAGGGUAUACGAAGGUGUUUAAGCACUCUGUUGUUAGCUGGGCGUCGAAGGGGAUGAGCAAGCCUCAGGCAUGAGCUGGUGGAGAUGUUUUCCAUACGUGAUUGUGUGAGAGCACUGUAGUUUUCAACAAUUAUAUGACACGGAGAAUGGAAUCUUUGUGGGUAUGGCGUCUGUGAUAAGCGUUGGUAUAAUUGAAGUGGGUCUGCGUUAGUUCCGUCAUCGUUAAGGAACGUGAGAAGUUAAUAAACUCUUUGGUGAGAGGUUAAUAAACCCGCAUCCUUUGCGAGCCGGUUUUUAAGAGUAAAUUCUACCUAGGUAGCUUAUCAUCACGCGGUGAAACCUUAGCGACUCUUAACAGUCUAUGGCUAUCUGAACAGGUGCAUAAGAGAGCUUUCGGUGAACAUGAAUCCUUGCGGGUAUUACCACUGAAGCAGAUACCAUGGGUCCGGAUGAGAUCCUGAUUUGCAUUCAUUAGAGGUAAACCACGCAAAUGGUGAUGGUUUUGAGGGAGUGAGGAGCUCAAAUGGGUGAGCUGUGGUUCUGCUAUGGUUUAGAAGAAGGUUAUUUGUGUUUUGGGCGAGAUAUAGCAGUGGUAAGAGGCACUCUUUUGGAAAAAAAUGGAGGUAAUACUAGAGUGGGCUUUGUAGAUGUGUGAAGUGAAAGUGAAAAUGGAGAAGGGAAGCUGUUGUGAGUGAGUUGCAUCAAGGAAAGGAGAAACUAGGUCUAACGUUAGGGAGCUGUUUGGGUGUUGAGGGUUGAAAUGUUGGGAUUGUUUUUUAGCAGAGCUGGGAGAGUUGUGUUGUUUAGGAAGAAG